rnacentral:tRNA from 1 species
GGUGAGGUGGUCGAGUGGUUAGGCAGCGGCCUGCAAAGCCGUGUACGCGGGUUCGAAUCCCGUCCUCACCUCGC